rnacentral:lncRNA from 1 species
CUAAAUUUAUUAAGGUAGAAUCCUUUGCAUAUCUUAAAUUAAUUGAAAAAUGACAAUAUUGUGAAACCAAACUUCCUUUAUUAAUUAUUUGGACUCAUUAUUAUUUGUAGAAUAACCACUGGUUGCUCCAGAAAAUAUUAUGUCCCCUCUCCCCCAGGGAAAGCUCUUUUCUUAAAUUUUAUUUGGGGGUGGUUGUGGAUGAAAUACCAAAAUGCAAAGGGAGUGUUGUUCUUAUUAAUUUUUAAUUCUGUCGGUGCUGGGAUUUUUUUUUUAAAAAGGGCUUAGGGCUGUCCCUUAGGGGCGGACAUAGUAUUUUCUGGAACAGACAUAAUUUUAUUAACACAUGUUCAAUUUCACAACAAAUUUAUUUUUUAAAUAAGAACGAAGGUUAAUCAUAAGUUAUGAAUAAUUAUAUACUGUUGAAAUUGUGUUAAAUUUCUA